GCGCCCGUAGCUCAGGUGGAUAGAGCACCGGCCUUCUAAGCCGGGGGUCGAAGGUUCGAGUCCUUCCGGGCGCGCCA
rnacentral:tRNA from 1 species